UUUUCAUGCCUUAGAAAAGAUGAGAAGGAACCACGCACGUUCAAUUGUAUUUGUUCCAUACGUUUGUUCAAGGCAGGGCAAAAAUGUUUAUACUCCCUAGUUAGUUGUUACUGAUUGUAUCGAUAAGAGUCAUCAACAAAAUCUAAUCAAGAAAAUGGAAGGAAAAAAGACGCGAAGCCAGAGCCAGCCUUGCUCGAGAUGUGAAGGACGUGACGAUUACCCUAUUCCAUAAUACUGGAUGACCAUAACCAGAAAACAAAUGGUGUUCUUCAUCCUCAGAAGUUUGGGAACUGAAACUCUGUCUUGCAUUUGGUGGGUCUGAACAAUGAAAUAAGUCGGUGUGGAGAAAGACUAGGGCCAGAAACCCAAUUUGCAUACUCUCUGCCUAGCAUGAAUAUGCCUGCUCUGAAGCCGCAUCUCGUUGGACAUGCCUGUCAUAUGUAUUUUUUCUUUUUUUUUAGAAUUUUCCUUUCGUCGUUGUGUCUUGUCAAUGUUCAUGUAUCAAAAUCUGGUGCAAUUUAGGAUUUGAUUUAGAUGAACGUUUUAGAAAUCAUCUGAAAGUGCAUAAAGAGUAACAUAUCUAGUUAUGGAUUAAAAAAACCAAUAAAACCUUACUUAUUGCUGACCAAAUUCGUUGUGUUCAGGUUUUGUAGCCAAAAUUAUCAGCAGGUCCAACUAAGUUUGGUGUAGUCGUGUUGUACUGGCAUAUUAUUAGUACUUCAGUAUUUCUACUUCUCGUUGUGCGUUGUUAUGAAAAAUAGGAUUUUCAUAUCUCCUUCGUAAGCUAUAUUGUUAUUUUGACAUACAGGUGACGUUAAGGAUUUGGAAUACGCUAGUAAUACGCUUAAAAUAGAACUGAAACCGUUAACGUCAGUAUGACUAAGGAUAUUGCACCUUCUUCGCAUAUGCUUAUCGUCUUUUUUUCCCUUUUCUUUUCGAUAUGACAAGAGUUUGGGGAAAAAAGCAUUUUCUUCACAUGUGAGCAUUUGCCUGUGUUAAUUGGUUGAGCUUUGUGGUGUUCACUUCAGAUUAUCUAGUACUAGAACGAGACCAGAAACCCAAUUUGCAUUGUUACACUAAUGUAUUAAGCCAGCAUCUGUUUACCCUAAUCUUGUGCCUGUUUGCUGAUGAAUAUUAUCUUAUUCACACAAUACGCUGGUUUCUUUUUCUUUUCUCCCCAUCUUUUAACUGUCAGAAAUUACUUGUAUUUGCUUUAUAUUACGUAUGGAGUCCCUUCUUGACUUAGAAUAUGUACAGAAUGUCACUUUGACGACAAAAGGACACAAAUCAUCACGAAGAAAAUGUUCAUUUGAUGAGUAGACAACCAAACCGCUGCGCACUUUGGCUAUUUUCUCGACGACGUUUGUGUGAUUUGAUUUCUUUGCCUGAGCUAUCCAAGUACCAAAAACAUGGGUGUAUGUAUAUCCUGAUCAUGAUAUUUCUCCUUUCCUUAGCACUACAAACUCUUAAUGAGAGCCUUUUGUGUGCUCCUCAAUCUUAGCUACAACUUGGAAACCCCACGCUCAUUCUGAUAUGUGCUCGACACGGGGUAUGACAUUUCAUGUUCUUGUGGAAACAUCAUCAUUGACGCUCUCCCGUGCACGCACAUUCCUAAUAUUAUUACAUGUUAAUAGCAUUUCUUUUGUUACUCGAAAAUUAAACAACGAUUUUCUUUUCAUCCUUUCUCUUUUAAAUUUUCCUGGUAGACUGAUACUUCUCGUGUUCUGACAUUGAAGCAUGCACUACAACAAGCAUGAAUAAGAUGACACAUCAGUACUGUAUCUGUAAGCUAGUUUCCUUUUCUUUUUCUUAAUAGACUUACCUUUUUUGCUUUCUUAAUCUUUUUCUUUUUUAUAUUACCUGUGUUUUUUUCUCUAGGUGCUAAUUCUGGACUCGAAGUAGUUAUUUGUUUUAAAUAUGCAUUUAUGAAAGAGUAUUUGUGUUUAGUUAUGGGCACGAAUGAUGGAAAUGAACAUGGCACUACUAAAUAUUUGUUGAAUGGUCAUGCACGUUUUAUGGCUGUAUGUAUAACUGCACAUUUGUUGGAAUUUGUGGGGGCUUGCAUUUCCUUCAGUUUAUGAUCUUCCUUUGGUUCAUGUAUGAUGCUAGACAGAUUUGAGUGACUAAGUCUCAUGUAUGAUGUUAGGCUGAGUUGUAAAGUGUGCGCAAAUGUAGUUCUCAUGUUUGUUAUUAGGUUGUGUAUCAUCUAGUGUAUUGAUUUCCCUAACCAAUACUCUCACAGGUCUCCAUAUGCUUUUAUGCUUAUCUUAUUCAGUCUCCGACUUUUUUGUUUAAUUUGUUAGCUUGUUAGCUUGAUUAAAAAAAAUUAUUGAUCUGCUCAUUUUCUUUGCAGGUUUUGGGCUCAUAUCGUGAUGGCAUAUGAAUUACUCUUUUGUUGUCGCAGAUAGGGUUUAUCAUACGAGCACUUCUGAAUCCUCAGUUGUAAUUUCUUUACAUCAAGGAUACUUCUCUUCUCACAUGCUAUUCAGUUUGCAACUCUUUGUAAUUUUUCUUAUUAACAUUUCUCUUGGUAUAUCAAAGACCAAAUUGACUAUGUAAUUGUCAGUUGUACCUGCAUUUGAGAAGUUAAUGAAAGUGUUACUUAUUUGCUCUGA